ACUCCUACGGGAGGCAGCAGUGGGGAAUAUUGGACAAUGGGCGCAAGCCUGAUCCAGCAAUGCCGCGUGUGUGAAGAAGGCCUUCGGGUUGUAAAGCACUUUUAUCAGGAGCGAAAUGCCAUUGGUUAAUACCCGGUGGAGCUGACGGUACCUGAGGAAUAAGCACCGGCUAACUUCGUGCCAGCAGCCGCGGUAAUACGAAGGGUGCAAGCGUUAAUCGGAAUUACUGGGCGUAAAGCGUGCGUAGGCGGUCUUUUAAGUCUGCUGUGAAAUCCCCGGGCUCAACCUGGGAAUGGCAGUGGAUACUGGGAGGCUAGAGUGUGUCAGAGGAUGGUGGAAUUCCCGGUGUAGCGGUGAAAUGCGUAGAGAUCGGGAGGAACAUCAGUGGCGAAGGCGGCCAUCUGGGACAACACUGACGCUGAGGCACGAAAGCGUGGGGAGCAAACAGGAUUAGAUACCCCUGUAGUCC
rnacentral:rRNA from 1 species